rnacentral:rRNA from 1 species
AAUCAACGCUGGCGGCGUGCCUAACACAUGCAAGUCGAGCGAGAAAAGGGGGGCAACUCCCUGAGUACAGCGGCGCACGGGUGAGUAACACGUGGGUAAUCUGCCCUGGAGUGGGGAAUAACACCGGGAAACCGGUGCUAAUACCGCAUACGAUCACGGAGUCUGCGGAUUUUGUGAUGAAAGGAGCAAUUCGCUCUAGGAGGAGCCCGCGGCUGAUUAGCUAGUUGGUGAGGUAAUGGCUCACCAAGGCAACGAUCAGUAUCCGGUCUGAGAGGACGGUCGGACACACUGGAACUGAGACACGGUCCAGACUCCUACGGGAGGCAGCAGUGGGGAAUUUUUGGCAAUGGGGGCAACCCUGACCAAGCAACGCCGCGUGGGUGAUGAAGUCUCUUGGGACGUAAAACCCUUUCGACGGGGACGAAACCGCAAGGUUGACGGUACCCGUAGAAGAAGCCCCGGCUAACUCCGUGCCAGCCGCCGCGGUAAUAC